UAAGUGACAUUGCACUCACUUCGCUGAACA
rnacentral:sRNA from 1 species